rnacentral:rRNA from 1 species
CCUACGGGAGGCAGCAGUGGGGAAUAUUGGGCAAUGGGCGCAAGCCUGACCCAGCAACGCCGCGUGAAGGAAGAAGGCCCUCGGGUUGUAAACUUCUUUUAACAGGGACGAAGAAAGUGACGGUACCAGUUGAAUAAGCCACGGCUAACGUCGUGCCAGCAGCCGCGGUAAUACGUAGGUGGUAAGCGUUAUCCGGAAUUACUGGGUGUAAAGGGCGUGUCGGCGGGAGAGGAAGUCAGACGUGAAAUUCCAGGGCUCAACCCUGGCACUGCGUUUGAUACUGUUCGUCUUGAGUGAUGGAGAGGCAGGCGGAAUUCCGGGUGUAGCGGUGAAAUGCGUAGAUAUACGGAGGAACACCAGUUGCGAAGGCGGCCUGCUGGACAUUAACUGACGCUGAGGCGCGAAAGCGUGGGGAGCAAACAGGAUUAGAUACCCGAGUAGUC